UACGAAGGGGGCUAGCGUUGUUCGGAAUUACUGGGCGUAAAGCGCGCGCAGGCGGUUCUCCAAGUCAGUGGUGAAAGCCCGGAGCUCAACUCCGGAAUUGCUAUUGAAACUGUUGAACUUGAGGAUGAGAGAGGUGAGUGGAAUUCCCAGUGUAGAGGUGAAAUUCGUAGAUAUUGGGAAGAACACCGGUGGCGAAGGCGGCUCACUGGCUCAUUACUGACGCUCAGGCGCGAUAGCGUGGGGAUCAAACAGG
rnacentral:rRNA from 1 species